GCCCUCGUAGCUCAGUCGCAGAGCGGCUGACUCGUAAUCAGCAGGUCGGGGGUUCAAAUCCCUCCGGGGGCU
rnacentral:tRNA from 1 species